GUGCUUGCUUUGGGAGCACAUAUACUAAAAUUGAAAACGACACAGAGAAGAUUAACGUGGCCCCUGCUCAAGGAUAAAACGCAAAUUCGUGAAGCGGUCCAUAUUUUU